AACGCGAUAAAUCGACCGCCUGGGGAGUACGGCCGCAAGGUUAAAACUCAAAUGAAUUGACGGGGGCCCGCACAAGCGGUGGAGCAUGUGGUUUAAUUCGAUGCAACGCGAAGAACCUUACCUGGUCUUGACAUCCAUAGAAUUCUGCAGAGAUGUGGGAGUGCCUUCGGGAACUAUGAGACAGGUGCUGCAUGGCUGUCGUCAGCUCGUGUUGUGAAAUGUUGGGUUAAGUCCCGCAACGAGCGCAACCCUUAUUCUUUGUUGCCAGCGAUUUGGUCGGGAACUCAAAGGAGACUGCCGUUGAUAAAGCGGAGGAAGGUGGGGACGACGUCAAGUCAUCGUGGCCCUUACGACCAGGGCUACACACAUGCUACAAUGGCGUAUACAAAGGGAAGCGAAGGUGCGAGCUGGAGCGGAUCUCAUAAAGUACGUCUAAGUUCGGAUUGGAGUCUGCAACUCGACUCCAUGAAGUCGGAAUCGCUAGUAAUCGUAGAUCAGAAUGCUACGGUGAAUACGUUCCCGGGCCUUGUACACACCGCCCGUCACACCAUGGGAGUGGGUUGCACCAGAAGUAGAUAGCUUAACCGCGAGGGGGGCGUUUACCACGGUGUGAUUCAUGACUGGGGUGAAGUCGUAACAAGGUAACCA
rnacentral:rRNA from 1 species